rnacentral:rRNA from 1 species
AUUGAACGCUGGCGGCAUGCCUUACACAUGCAAGUCGAACGGCAGCACGGGAGCAAUCCUGGUGGCGAGUGGCGAACGGGUGAGUAAUAUAUCGGAACGUGCCCAGUGAUGGGGGAUAGCCCGGCGAAAGCCGGAUUAAUACCGCAUACGACCUACGGGUGAAAGCAGGGGAUCGCAAGACCUUGCGUCAUUGGAGCGGCCGAUAUCAGAUUAGCNGUUGGUGGGGUAAAAGCCUACCAAGGCGACGAUCUGUAGCUGGUCUGAGAGGACGACCAGCCACACUGGGACUGAGACACGGCCCAGACUCCUACGGGAGGCAGCAGUGGGGAACUUUGGACAAUGGGCGCAAGCCUGAUCCAGCCAUGCCGCGUGC